GGCUUUAUAUAGGGGAGGGGGCGUGGCCAAAAGGAAGUGGGCGGGGCUUAAGAGGAAAUUGGGGGCGUGGCCUCGGGGGGAACCGCGAAACCCCGCUGGGUUUUGGCCACGCCCCCUUUUCCGGUUGCGGUUAAUGGGGUGGGCGGGGCUUAAAGGGGGCGGGGCUUAAAUGAAGGAGGCGUGGCUUAGAGAGAAGGGGCGUGGCUUCGGUGUUCCCCUUUGCUCUGACCACGCCCCCUUCUUUCCGUAUAUGGCAAUAGGGGCGUGGCCUCGGUGUCCCGCCCUGUUCUGACCACGCCCCCUUCUUUCCGUAUAUGGCAAUGUGGGCGGGGCUUGAAUGGAUGGAGGCGUGGUUUAAUCGUAGCCCCGCCCCCUCGCCGACCCCACUCACCCCACACCCUUUAUUCGCCCUAUAGGACACAGGGGACGUUAUCAAGUUCUGGUGGCACCUUUAUUGGUUCCAUCUGCUCCUGCCCUGACCCCCCCCACCCCCCCAUGGUGGCCCUGGGGGUCCCCAAGGUGGACAUGGGGGUCCCAUUGGUGACUAUGGGGGUCCCAUUGGGGGUCCCAUUGGUGGUACUGUCCCCAUUGGUGACUAUGGGGGUCCCACUGGGGGUCCUGGGGGUCCCAUUAAUGGCUAUGGGGGUCCCAUUGGUGACUAUGGGGGUCCUGGGGGUCCCAUUGGUGACUAUGGGGGUCCCAUUGGUGGUCCUGUCCCCAUUGGUGGUCCUGGGGGUCCUGGGGGUCCCAUUGGUGGCUAUGGGGGUCCCCAAGGUGGCCAUGGGGGUCCCAUUGGUGACUAUGGGGGUCCCAUUGGUGGCCAUGGGGGUCCCAUUAAUGACUAUGAUGGUCCCAUUGGUGGAGAUGGGGGUCCCAUUGGUGGUCCUGGGGGUCCUAUUGGUGGCCCUGGGGGUCCCCAAGGUGGCCAUGGGGGUCCCAUUGGUGGCCAUGGGGGUCCCAUUGGUGACUAUGGGGGUCCCAUUGGUGGUCCUGUCCCCAUUGGUGGCCCUGGGGGUCCCCAAGGUGGCCCUGGGGGUCCCACUGGUGACUAUGGGGGUCCCAUUGGUGACUAUGGGGGUCCCUUUGGUGGUCCUGUCCCCAUUGGUGACUAUGGGGGUCCCAUUGGUGGUCCCAUUCCCAAGGUGGCCAUGGGGAUCCUAUUGGUUGUCCUGGGGGUCCCCAUUUAGUGGCUCUGGGGGUCCCAUAGGUGGUCCCAUCCCAUUAGUGGCCCUGGGGGGUUUCAUUGGUGGCACAGGGGGUCCUCAAGGUGGUCCUGUCCCCAUUGGGGUCCCAUUUAGUGGCAUUGGGGACCCUUUGGCGUCCCUAUGGUGUCCCUAUAGUGGCCAUAGGGUCCCAUUAGUGACCCUGGGGUCCCUAUGGUGUCCCUAUGGUGUCCCUAUGGCGUCCCUAUAGUGGCCAUAGGGUC
rnacentral:lncRNA from 1 species